GGGAGGGUAGCUCAGCGGACAGAGCGCAGCGAACUUGCAUUUGGUGUCUUUUCCCUAAGAAUAGCGAAACGAGCCCCUAAGAUGCCGGUUCCUAAGGUCAUGGGUUCGAAUCCCAUCUCUCCUA